rnacentral:rRNA from 1 species
AAUAGAUACCCGGGUAGUCCACGCCGUAAACGAUGAGUGCUAAGUGUUAGGGGGUUUCCGCCCCUUAGUGCUGCAGCUAACGCAUUAAGCACUCCGCCUGGGGAGUACGGUCGCAAGACUGAAACUCAAAGGAAUUGACGGGGGCCCGCACAAGCGGUGGAGCAUGUGGUUUAAUUCGAAGCAACGCGAAGAACCUUACCAGGUCUUGACAUCCCACUGACCGCUAUGGAGACAUAGUUUUCCCUUCGGGGACAGUGGUGACAGGUGGUGCAUGGUUGUCGUCAGCUCGUGUCGUGAGAUGUUGGGUUAAGUCCCGCAACGAGCGCAACCCUUGAUCUUAGUUGCCAUCAUUUAGUUGGGCACUCUAAGGUGACUGCCGGUGACAAACCGGAGGAAGGUGGGGAUGACGUCAAAUCAUCAUGCCCCUUAUGACCUGGACUACACACGUGCUACAAUGGACGGUACAAACGGUUGCCAACCCGCGAGGGGGAGCUAAUCCGAUAAAACCGUUCUCAGUUCGGAUUGUAGGCUGCAACUCGCCUAC